rnacentral:rRNA from 1 species
AACGUAGGAGACGAACGUUAUCCGGAGUUACUGGGCGUAAAGGGCGUGUAGGCGGUUUGUUAAGUCUGGCGUGAAAGCUCUCGGCUAAGCCGGGAGAGGUCGUUGGAUACUGGCGAACUGGAGGAUGGUAGAGGCGUGUGGAAUUCCGGGUGUAGUGGUGAAAUGCGUAGAGAUCCGGAGGAACACCAGUGGCGAAGGCGACACGCUGGGCCUACCUGACGCUAAGCGCGAACAGCAUGGGGAGCAAACGGG